rfam:Populus trichocarpa isolate Nisqually-1 chromosome 3, whole genome shotgun sequence.
GCGAGGUGACGAUAGAAGUUCAUGUCUGUCAAUCCACUGACUAAGUAACUGUGUGAUGUUACCGUGAAUCCCGACAGGUUCUGAUCGC